AACGAACGCUGGCGGCAGGCUUAACACAUGCAAGUCGAACGGUUGUAGCAAUACAGCAGUGGCAGACGGGUGAGUAACACGUGGGAACCUUCCUAGGGGUACGGAACAACUCAGGGAAACUUGAGCUAAUACCGUAUACGUCCGUGGGGAGAAAGAUUUAUCGCCCUUAGACGGGCCCGCGUCGGAUUAGCUAGUUGGUGGGGUAACGGCCUACCAAGGCGACGAUCCGUAGCUGAUCUUAGAGGAUGAUCAGCCACACUGGGACUGAGACACGGCCCAGACUCCUACGGGAGGCAGCAGUGGGGAAUCUUGGACAAUGGGCGCAAGCCUGAUCCAGCCAUGCCGCGUGAGUGAAGAAGGUCUUCGGAUUGUAAAGCUCUUUGCCAGGGACGAUAAUGACGGUACCUGGAGAAUAAGCCCGGCAAACUUCGUGCCAGCAGCCGCG
rnacentral:rRNA from 1 species